rnacentral:rRNA from 1 species
GACAGAGGUGCCAAGCGUUAGGCGGAAUCACUGGGCUUAAAGCGUGUGUAGGCGGAUCGUUAAGUACCUUGUGAAAUCCCACGGCUCAACCGUGGAACUGCUUGGUAUACUGGCGGUCUUGAGCCGCCUAGGGGCAACUGGAACAAGCGGUGGAGCGGUGAAAUGCUUAGAUAUCGUCCAGAACACCGAUAGCGAAGGCAGCUUACUAAGGAGUAACUGACGCUGAGGCACGAAAGUGUGGGGAUCAAACAGG